rnacentral:rRNA from 1 species
AUGAGAGACAAGUACUUCCUCACGGAUCAUACCACUGUAACUUCCUUUCACCACUUUCAUGGUGCCCCUACAACAAAUGGGUUUUGGCAACAACACCCACCACACUGCACGGCGAUCAGGGCGGAAUUCAACAGGAUUGUGGGGAUUAAGAAGACUAUGAAGUUCCACCAGCACACGGGCGCCAAGACCAACUGGAGCAUGAACAUCUACUACUCAUGGAACGAGGGAGAUUCAUUUCUCCGGGAUGAUUUAGUCCUGUGCCAUGUAUUCGAGACGGACUCACCCGACUACGAUGACAACCCCAAAUGCCUCGGAUGCCAUCGAGGAGCAUGCAGUGGACACCCCCAUGAUCAAGCAUUCGGAGCUCCAAGCGAGGACACUUCAUUCAAGCCAAUUCACUAUUACCCAAACCGCCAUUCCGACCCAAGAUUAAAGUCUUACAUGGAACAACUUGGAAACCUCUUGUUCAGUGACGCUGAUCCUGACAACUCCGCAGAUACUGGAAACUGUGGUGCAGGAAGAGGCAAACCUCCAAUGGCUGACCAUGGGCAGUCAAAAAAAACGCAAAAAGAUCUCAGAUGUUUGGGAUUACUUCACCAAGAUAUUUGCGCGCGACAUCAACGGGAAGGUCGUGACAUAUGCGGCUUGCAACCACUGCUGCAAGAUACUGUCAGCCAGUUCCAAGAACGGGACCUCACAACUUGCAAGGCACGCGUGCCCGUGCAAGUUCAAACCAGUAGUAGCUGGCAGAAAUGCCAAGGACUCCGCCGGCGACGUCAAUGUCCUAUCGUCCUAAGUUCUUGA